rnacentral:misc_RNA from 1 species
GAAAUGCGAUAAGUAGUGUGAAUUGCAGAAUUCAGUGAAUCAUCGAAUCUUUGAACGCACAUUGCGCCCCUUGGUAUUCCAUGGGGCAUGCCUGUUCGAGCGUCAUUUGUACCCUCAAGCUCCGCUUGGUGUUGGGUGUUUGUCCCGUCUCCGCGCGUGGACUCGCCCCAAAGUGAUUGGCAGCCGGCGUACUGGUCCCGGAGCGCAGCACAUGUCGCGCAAACGAGUGCCUUGGUACGGCGGCGUCCAUAAGCCCCUCUCUCACGCUCUUGACCUCGGAUCAGGUAGGGAUACCCGCUGAACUUAAGC